rnacentral:lncRNA from 1 species
ACAUGGCCCAAUAAGGAAAGAAUGGGCAUGGCCCAAUUAAAAAGAAAUGGGAGAAGUCCAUGAAAAAGGACCCAAAAACAACAAAGGAAGAAAAGUCCAAAAGAAAAGGAAGGUGGAGACUUGGGCCAACCUAUCCAAAUUGGGUAAAAUUUCUUUACUCUUCUCCAUGGCUUAUUGUGAAAUUGGACUGUUUAGAGGCUAGCUCAUUUUAUUUAAUUAUAUAUUGGUUAUUUGGUGAUAUGAAGUAAAUUUAAGUUGCUUAAAAUGUUCAAAUAAGCACUUAAUACCAUAAAUAAGUUAUCGGUGUUUAUAAUCUAAAGAAUUACGUGAGCAAAGGAUGUAAUUAAUUUUAGUAAAAAUGUAUUAAGAUGCGAAUUAGGUGAAUGGAUUAUGAUAAAAUGAGCAAGAGAAGUGGAAUUGAUGCACUAAGUAUAUUGGGUUUAAAUUGUUGUUAGGAAAGUUUGUUGUGGAAGCGUGCCAAACGAAGUAUGUGACUGGCAAAUAGGAAUAAUUAUAUGUGUACGAAUCAAUAGCGACGCAAAAAUCCCGUUAUUGUGAAGUGAGUAACCUUAUCAUCAUUUUAAUUAUCUAAAGUGGUCUUUUUAUUCGAUUUUGUGAAUUUUAUGAAAAAUGUGUUUAAAUGAAAUGAAUUUAUAAAUUGUUUUGAAAUUGAAUGAUGACUUUGAAAAUAGAGUAAUUGGAGACCACUUGAUAUAUUGUAAAUUUAUGGUUUUAAUUGAUUGGCUUGUGGCAAUAUUGGCAUGAAUGGUUCAAUUGCUAAAUGUGCUGAAAAUGCAUAAAUUAUUGAUUUGCCUUGAGAGGCUGUAAAAUAAAAUAAUUGCCAUGUCAUGCUAUUGCAAAUUUUAUUGUAUGGUGGGUUUAACUUGCUGCAGUGGGCGGGUUUUGUGGACCAGCCUAUUAGAAGGGCACGGAAUCUAGUUAUAUUCGUACCUUGGUCGAAGAGGCGUGUAGGGUAUCUCCUGAGGUAUGGUUAGAGUUCACGUCUCAUUGAACCACCUCGUGAUGAUGAACUCCGCUAACGCCAAGGAACGACUAUGUUUUUCUCAAACUAAAAAUAUGUUUUACGUGUAUACGAAAUUUUUAACAGCCUUGGCGAGCUAGAGUGUACGCCUCUGAUCAAGGUUUCAUCGAGUACUAUUUGAUGGCAUGAGCCAAAUGUUUAUGAAAGUCAUAAGCCUUAAUGAGAAAUUAAAUGAAAUACAACCGUUUGCAUGGGUUGGGAUGAAUUUUCAAAUUGUGAAAUACAUAAUGUGAUGGGAUAUUUUGAUUGUCUCUUUUUAUUUGUCUUUAGCUGAUUUAAAUGAUGUUUGUUUACUCACUAAAAUUUUAUAAUCUCACCACCCUCCUUUCCACACAUUUCAGACUCAAAAUAGACUGUAGAUAGCUGACAUCAUCGAGGACUACAGUUGGACUUGCAUCAUCCAAAAACUGUAGGUUCAUUUCUUUUGAUACUUUUGGUCAUUCGUGGGCCCACGUGUCACUGUGAAUUAAAUUUUAUACUUUGGUUAUCUGUAUUACAGUAUGUAUGAAUUUAUUUAGCCUUUACGCUACAAAAAUUAUUUAUCGGUAACUCUAUAAAUAUUGUUUUAUAAGAAAAUAGAAAAUUUUAUUGAAUAUUGAUGUUAUAUUUAAAUAAAUAUAGUUUCGCUUUAAAUGAAUGUUUUAGACAUCUAAAUUUAUUUUUGAUUAUGAAAUAUGUGUUUUCCACUCGUAUACUACAUUUUUAACUAGUUUUGAGAUUUGUGAGGAAAAAUGACCAAAAUGCCUUUGUGAGACAAAAAUCAUUUUUCUAUUGUUUUGAUUUGGAAAUAGUUUAUAACGUAUCAAAACAUGUUAUUUUACAACUGUUGAUCACAGGGGAGGUGAGAAAACUGAUAUUAAAGUCUGACGAGGUUCCAAUCGGCAUUCAUGGCGAUGAAUGUCUAUCGGGACAUCAUGGCGGUUGUCACGGGCUCGAGGAGAGUACCGGAUCGUGAAAAAUUUCAUGCUAUUUAGGUGUUUUUAGUUGUUUUAUGAUGUAAGGCUUAAAAAUCAAGCAUGAAAAUUACAUGUUCUACACUAAACCUUCAAUGGCCGAAUUUUACAAGGAAGAUAUUGAUGAUGGAUUUUUGUGAUAGUACAUAUUAUUUAACUUGAAAUUGAUGACUUGGAGUAUUGGAAGUGGAAUCAAGUUAAUUAGAGUUGAAUUGGAUGAAUUGGCCAAUUAACUGGUGCAUAGAUCAAAUUAGGCCAAUUCCAUUUUAUUUCGAUACAUAAUUGAAGUUACGUAGAACACCAUAUUUAGAUAAUAAUCCGAACAUUUCGCAUCCCGUUUCAUGCAUUCAUAUAGAGCCUAAAUUAGUUUUAUAACGGUUUAGUACAAAUAUAGUAAAUUGCUUGUUGUGCAUUAUGUUUAGGUGGUGAAAUGUCAAGCUCGACCUUAUAAAAUUCUUGCCAUGUCAUUCAUGUGAUUGAUAAUAUGCUCGCAUACUUGGAAAGCCCCGAAAAAUUGUCAAAAGACGGUAAUGUACUGAAUGGUACAACUAAGUUGAAUUAAGCCUCGAACUAGACCAAAUAAAGAUUUUAAGAUGAAAUUUAGAAUUUUAAAUUCCCAGAAUGAUUUAAUAUGGUGAUUCGGAGUUCGAGAAUUGAUUUGGAGUCAAAAUGGAAUUUUCAUGACAUAGAGGCAAAAUGGUCAUUUUACCACCCGAGGGCAAAAUUGUAAUUUUACACCACACAACACUUGUCAUACUCAUAGAUUUCAUCCCUUAACAUUUUAUAUGGUGAAUAAUUGAAAUAUUUGAUGUGGUGGAGAAAGAAAGCUUAAUUGUUAAGUGUAAAAUGUGGACCAAUGGUAUGGUGACAAGUGGCAAGCUUAUAUUUGUUUAUAAUUUACAUUAAAAACCAGCACAUAAACCCUCCCAACUCAUUUCUCUUGGUCGGCCAAAGGAAGACAAGGGAAGAAAAGAAGAAGAACAAAACCCUAGCUAAGAAAUUCAAGGGAAAAUCACUAGAUUUCAAGGAAUCAAGACAUCAAAGGUGAAAUUUCUUAACUCUAGCUUGUGAU